rnacentral:tRNA from 2 species
GGGUCAGUAGCUCCAACGGUAGAGCGCCGGUCUCCAAAACCGAGGGUUGUGGGUUCGAAUCCCUCUUGGCCCG